AUAAAUGCUAGCAAAUUCUUUAGUUAUAAAUCUAUAUUUUAAACGACGGACAGACGAAAGACGGAGUUUAAGAAAUAGCAGCUUAUAUUAUUAGGAAAACUUGAGAAGUUGGAAUUGAUGUCAAUAAUUGCCGAUGUAAUUUGCAGUGCAUCGACGGGGCUGUCGUUCAACCUUCAGCUGAUAUUUGCGCCCCUUUUUCGCAGCCCAUUUGGAUUUUGCGGCCUAACGGUGGGAGGUCGAAGGACGAAAGGCGAAGAAGGAAGUCGGAGUCGGAGUCAGAGUCAGAGUCGGAUAUGAGGAACACACUCGGGCAACAACUAACAUUUCAGCCCAUGGCUUAUUAGGCGCAUUCAAAUCAAGAAAGAAAACGAAUGAGAGAGAUGAAAUAGAGAGGGGAAGAGGAAGUUGGAAGUUGGAAGUUGGAAAAGGAGAGAGAGAGGGAGAGGGAGACCAACCCAGGUUGCUGAACAACGACGACGACGACGACGACGACGACGACACACAUGAGGAGGGCCAGUUAAAUGACGGCACACAUUAAACCGAACUGAACUGAACCCAAGUUGGCCCUGUGGUCGUUGGUCGUUGUUGGUCGUACUUUGAGCUUGGGCACCAACAAGUUGAGCUACAGCAACAAACAGUCUCAAGUGGAAGUGGAGAAAUAAGCCCAAAAACAACAGACGAAAAUAAAGACGAAGAAGAAGACGAAGACGAAGACAACGACAAGAGACAAGCAACAGAUAAAAAGGGUGGUUGCUUUCUUGCUUGGCAGAGUGCGAGUGUGACGAGGAUGGAGCGUGGGAAGGAGGGGAAGGGGAAGCCAAAGUCGGCAAAUUGCGGCACAGUGCGCAGUGCAUAAAGCGUAAAAAUGAGCCAAAAUAAAUAAAAGCCGCAGCAACAACAACCGCAACGAAAACGCCGACGUCGACGUCCGUUUGAUUGAUUGGCGACAGCGGCGGAAGCAGCAGCAGCAGCAGCAGCGACCGCAACACCAAAGCCAAAAACAACAACAGCAACAACAGCAAAAGCCGCGGCGCCGUGACGUCACAAAAUGGCUUUUGCGUAAGGUCAGGCAUUUUGCUGCCCAACUACUGAACUGCUGAACUGCUCAACACUGCUCAGCUGAGCAAAACCAAUCCCAACAGCAAUCGUUAUCGAACCGAACAAUCGACACCCUCCUGUCUCUUGCUCGCUCGCUCGCACUUGUUGUUUUGCCAUGCCAAUUAAAAACAGUGAUGUAAAGUGCAGCGAAUUUCAGUAAUCCAGUUUUGUGUCGAGCAAUAUCAAUUUUUUUGAGUUUCUUUUUUGAAUUUUGCGAAUUCAAAUUAACUUUGACACAAACAUUAAAAUUAUAAGGGCCAAAUU